rnacentral:rRNA from 1 species
AUGAUAAAUCUACUUGUCAACAAAACAAAUUCGCAAAAUGAAUUGUCGCCAAAAAAUUUCAUCCAGCUGACCCAUUGGUGUAGAGCCCGACAGACAAGCACCACACUACACUGUGCAGCGCCUGCCUCUCAGACGCUACACAUCUGGCUAGCACAGCAUACCUGGGCCAUGCCGGACCCACACCCGGCCGUGCAGCGCCUCACAUCUACGUGGCAAACAUGUAAUAUGCAGCGCUUAGCCGUUAGGCGCUGCACAUUCUGUUACCAGUGCCUAGGCUACACAAAAAGGUUAGCUGAGUGA